rnacentral:rRNA from 1 species
UACGAAGGGUGCAAGCGUUACCCGGAAUUACUGGGCGUAAAGCGUGCGUAGGUGGUGAGUUAAGUCUGUCGUGAAAGCCCCGGGCUCAACCUGGGAAUGGCGAUGGAUACUGGCUCGCUAGAGUGCGGUAGAGGAGAGUGGAAUUCCCGGUGUAGCAGUGAAAUGCGUAGAGAUCGGGAGGAACAUCAGUUGCGAAGGCGGCUCUCUGGACCAGCACUGACACUGAGGCACGAAAGCGUGGGGAGCAAACAGG